rnacentral:lncRNA from 1 species
CUUGGGCCUGUUUUCCAUUCAAGAAGUAGGAAGAGCGGAGCAGAGGACCAAAAUCUUUCUAGCAAACUGUUAGGCAAGAAAGAAAUUUAUCCUUUAGGUUAUUGGUCAGGACUUUUAAUUAGCUUCAGGUAGGAUGAGGAAGAAAUGGUGGGAUUAAGCAAAGAACCAGGGAAAAUAAUAGUCCAGUGGGAUCUGUUUCCUUAAACUAUGUUACCUGAUUACUUACUCGGUCACUGGAAUGAUUUUCAGGGCUGGUCUGAUGGUCCACUGGCCUUCAGUGAGACUUCAUGGCUUUUAGCUUUCUAGGGGAGUUGUCAUCACCAGGGACUCUAAAAACACAGCUGUGUUGGACAGGACCAAGCCAGAUCCAUUCUAGCACUGGGUCUUAGAGAAAACUGAGAACAGGAAGGGCCAGUUUAAACCAUCCCUUUAGAUACAUCUGGAUCAGGUCUUUUCCUCCAUUUAUGUUUAUUUGUGCUUGUAGCUGUUUCUUAAUUACAAAAGUAAAAUGUUUGC